CUCACAAUGUAAAAUGGGUCCUUCCAUGUGAAAACAGCCAAUAUCGGGGUAUCAUGUACAUGGUACCUCUCAGAUUAUGCUGAAAAGCGGUGAAAAUAUUCCUUAUGUUACCAAACGAGGGAAUCUGAAGUUUCAGGUCAAUAUCUCAAACGGUUUGCCCGUGGCGUCCAUUUGAAUUUCGGGUGCCACGGCCCUAA